UGAUGGAGGCAGACCGAUAGUGGAUGAAGUACAGGAGUUCUGUGGAAGCUGGAAGGCUGCCAGCCAUUUCACCCCUCCUGGCCCUGCUGUUUGUGUUGAUGAGUCCCAGUUUGGAGUGCAACGCCCCUUGCUAUUUCCAUCUGAGGCAGAGUGCUUCAAGUUGUUUCUGACAGAGGAGCUGGUGGGAGACAUAUUAGAGACUAAUCGCUAUGCCUUGGAGCUACAGGAAAAGAGAGAGCCAGGAGUGGGGGGACAGCCACAAUUAGUGAAAUGUAUACAUUCCUGGUGACAGUAAAGAAUAACUCCCUAACAGAAUACUGGAGCAGAGAUCCUAUGUUUGCAACUCCCUUCUUUGCCACCCUCUUUUUCCAAGACUGCUUUCUAAUUCUGCUGCUAUGACUGCAUUUCAUCAACAACGCUACUGCCAUCCUAAAUGACCCAUUAUACAAAAAAAAUAAAAUGUUAACAGCUGGCAGUAAAGUGCCAUGACAAACAAGACGUCCAUGUCCUCUCCACUGUCCAUACAGCAAUCAUGUCGGCCACAGGGAAGGUGGACCACCUGACGGGAGAGAGAAACAAACCAGACAGGGAGACAUCAAACCAGACUGCGUGCUUGACUAUAACCUCAAAAUGGGGGCAGAAAAUGACCAAGAUAUUUUUCCAGGGUAGCGUCAAAAUACAACAUGCCAAUACUUCUGACGCAUUUAGCAUGGCUUUGCAGAGCUAAUAGAAGAAUGUAACUAGCUACAUAAGUGUAGUAGAGUUAAAUAGGUUAUUCAAUCAAACUUCAAAUUAUUAGAAUAGUACACAACGCAGAACAGAACAACCAGGUUGAGGGUCAGUGGCCAAAGCCCGCGAACAGGAAUAUUCCAAGUUCAGACAGAGGGGGGAGGCAGAUCGCUAUGAUCGCCAGGAACUUUAGUUUUAGUGUCUUUUUUAAAUUGUUGCGCUACUGGUGCUGCCUGUUGAUGGUAGGUAGGCAGCUACAGUAGCUGAAUGAUGUUAACAUCUUCGGGUUUUGUUUCAUUAAAUGUAUUUUAUUUCAUCUGGGUGCUUGUGUCACCUACUAACACCCUGGUACUACCCGUAGGUCCCGUUCUCCUCAGUCGGAGAAAACACAGAGAAAGGUAUGUGUUGCAGAUUAUUCUUUUGUAGAAGUACAUAACGUGAAAUAAAUAAAACAUCCCAAGGUUAAUGCUGUAGAUAUUGUUAUAAGGGAGUGUGAGACUAUAGAAACAUGUAACUUUCAGAGUUUUAUUGUUGUUAUUCAUAUAGUUUACAGAGUGCUAAAAGUGCUGCUGUUGCAAGCUAGCAUGCCUUUCUAUGAUGCAUACGGCUAGCUGAGCUGCGGACUGGUGCUGGCGUUGCAUUAUGGGAGAUGUUGUUUGGUCCUCUACGGUCCGAAUGGAAUAGAGGCGAUUUCACGUUGUAACUUGUUUAUGUUGCAGUGUUUUUGUACAUGAGUUGUUUUAUUUUGCUACUGUCAACACUGAAAGCACCUAGCAAUGUAUUGAGGAUGUGAGACAUAUAUGUGUUUUACAUUUCUUCAUGCUCCUGUGUAGAACAACUUGUCAGAUGGUGCAUUGGAGACUGAUGUGUUCCUGUCCUGUCUUUUCACAAUACUAUUGCAGGUAUGGUUCUAUUGUCUAGGAAUUAAGAUGAUACAUUCUCUGUAUUAAGGACUGGUUAUUAUUUUAUAGUAUACAUUAUUGCUUUAUGUAUGAGUGUGAUUGUGUGAGUCUGAGAAAACACUGAGAGAGAGAGAACAACUUGUCAGAUGGUGCAUUGGAGACUGAUGUGUUCCUGUCCUGUCUUUUCACAAUACUAUUGCAGAUCAACAUAAAAGCCUAAAAGACAGCCGUGGUAUCGCUCUUCAUUUCUUGGUUCUCCUGUGGUACAUAAGAAACCCGCUACAUAAGCACGAUUGAAUAUAACACCAUAAAAGAUCAGCCUCAAUUCGUCGGGGCAUGGACUCUACAAAGGGUCAAAAGCAUUCCACUGGGAUGCUGGUCCAUAUACUGUACAUGAUUCAUCAAGCCCUUCUCUGCCAAGGCAGAGUUAGAGGAAGAUAUGUAGCCUGGCAAAAGCAACUGACAUGGGCUGCACGUCAUCCAGGCUACCCAUCAGAGGACCCAGAGGACUUGCAGGUGACCCAAGUGUUUCCAGGCCUUCUGGACUCCCCAGAAGAAGUCCCGGAUGCCUUUUCUCAUCUUGGAUAAUUUAAC